GAUCCUGGCUCAGGAUGAACGCUGGCGGCGUGCUUAACACAUGCAAGUCGAACGAAGCACCUCUCCCGAAGAUUGACACAGCUUGCUGUAGAUUGAUUCAUUUGAGGUGACUGAGUGGCGGACGGGUGAGUAACGCGUGGGUAACCUGCCUCAUAGAGGGGGGACAACAGUUGGAAACGACUGCUAAUACCGCAUAGUAAGAAGAAUUCGCAUGUUUUCUUCUUGAAAGAUUUAUCG
rnacentral:rRNA from 1 species